AGGUAAUGAAUUGCAUGAACUUGAUUGUUUCAUUCUUAUGUUAAUUUGAUAAAUUUAUAGCAUCUAAUUUGUGGACCCUAGUUAUUCACUGUUUUGGUAGAGAAUCUACCUGAGGAUCACUCGGUAGAGAACAUGCAGAGAAUAUUUGCAGAAGCUGGAAAGUAUACAAUAUGUUAUCUAUGAUGGAGUAAGGGCGUGAUUUUUCUGGGGAAGUAGGAUUUAUGGUUUGCUGACCUAUAAAUUGGUUAAGUUUCCAACUUGCUAUUCAAUGUGCGGUAGAAUAAAAGAAACUUGCCACAUCUAUCUGGUACAUUGUUAGAGAAACUAAUGCUCCUGCUGUUUUGUUUUUCAGAAACUAUGGAUUUCCAAACUAACUAAAAUGCAAAAUAAUAAUUUAACUUGGAGAAUAAAGAUGGAUCAGUUGAAAACAAUCAAUAUGGCUUUUAGUGCAAAAUUAAAUCUGGGAAAUAUUUUGUAGAAUAGAGAUGAUGAAGGUGAUGAAGUAAAGCAGGUACUUAUGACAGAUUGGCUAGCCUGGAUGUUUUCCUGGUGCAGCCAUUUCGCUGUGCCGAGCUUUUGGGUGUCAAUCUGAAUGACUAUGCAAUUGACCGCUGUCUGAUUCCUUCUCUAUUUGAGGAAUUCUUUAGGUUCCUUUAACCUUGUUCAUGGAUAUUAAUAAAGUUGUUACUUUGUUAACAUAUUAUGUGGUCUUUUUACCUGCAUUUUGACAUGUAUUGUUGAUGGUUCCAGAAACUGGCCAUCUAGACUGAAAUAUUUUUAUUCUGAACUUUCCUCUCUCUUUACAUUCUACUGCGAUUUGAACUAUUUCUGUUAUUUACCUGAUAUUUUGGGUAAUGGGAAGAAUUGAUAAUGCCUACUCUAAUGUAUCCACUUUUCCAAAUGGUAGAAUUAUUUUAAUAACCCAAGGAUUCGGUUAGUUUGUCACUUUCUCGGUACAUGUUACUGAUAGCUAAGAUUCGGGUUUGUUUGAUUUGGAUAUUGGUUUUGUGCCCAUGACAAAGUACUGAUUUUUCUUUGAUCCUUAGUUGUAGAAUCCAAAAUAGAAUAUACACCGGAAUCUUUAUACAUAUCUUGUUUCCAUCUUUUGAUUCUUCUUUAGCUCCUGUGUUAUUGGAUGGUUUCUUUGGGCUGCAUGCUUAUGAGGCUAAAAUGAUUUACGUUUAUUUUAAAGCUUCCUAACUGCUUAAAGUUUUCAAACCUGUAUCUAUCUUUUUAUAUGAUGGGAAAUUAGGAAUACCUGUAUCAAUCUUUUCCUAUAACUCUAUUUUCAUAUUUAUGGUUUGUCUUUCUUGCAGUUCCAAUAUCAGUUAUUGCUUCUUUUAGGAAAUUGAAGAGGCUUACCCGAAACCAUGCAUGGAUAGUGGCUGCACUCAGGGAAUCAUCCUUGCUUGUAAGCUGCUUCUUUCCUUUGCAAUAAUAAUGAUUAGGGUGUUGAUGUUAUCUACAUAUCUGAAGUGAUAAAAUGCAACGUCACUUGUGCCUUCUGCGUUGAGGCAGAUGUUAAUGGUAGCUUCUUAAUAAUUCAAUGAUUCCAGUUAACUAUGAUGUAAAGGGUGUUUAUUCUUUAAUUAUUUCCUAAUUUCCCUUUUUAAAUAAAAUAAAAAUUAAAGGUUGUGAGUUCAAAUGGGAAGAAGGUAAAGCGCCUUAAUCCUCUGCCAGUCACUGAAGUCAGGGAUCCUAAGGUAAUGAAUUGCAUGAACUUGAUUGUUUCAUUCUUAUGUUAAUUUGAUAAAUUUAUAGCAUCUAAUUUGUGGACCCUAGUUAUUCACUGUUUUGGUAGAGAAUCUACCUGAGGAUCACUCGGUAGAGAACAUGCAGAGAAUAUUUGCAGAAGCUGGAAAGUAUGUACUUUGUUUUUAAAGUAAAAUGAAAAAAAAAAAAAAAAAAUUGUUCCUUUACAAAGUUUUAUUCAGUGAGCUAUUUUUCUUCUUUUUUCGAUUUGAUUGUAUAGUUCUUUUUUUUCAGAAU
rnacentral:lncRNA from 1 species